UACACGGAGCAAGCGAGCGUCAGGCCUUCCCGAGUUCUCUGGGGCUCUGGAAAAGACAAAUUUUCUUUGGCAGAAGGAAUGGUGUCGCGCUGUCGACACGAAAGACUAUUUUUCUUGUUCCCUUUGGGGGGGGAGAAAGAAAGCAAGAAAGAAAGGAAAAUUAAAUCCACACGUGUGUGCUGGGCUUGCUCAAAGGGCCAGAUUCAAAACCAGAGAUGAAACGGGAGUACAAGGUUCUCAGCUGGGGUCCACUGAGGAGGUAGGAAGAAAAGAGAGCUGCCACUCCUGCCUGGAGCAGGGUGAGGAGGGUAGCCAAACCCCAAGUAGAAGGAUCAGUCACCAAGACAAUUGUUUGGUCGAGACCUCUAAUUUUUCUUCGGAACAACAGGCCAAGAAGAGUUUGGUGUUGGAUGUGACAGAGAAA
rnacentral:lncRNA from 1 species